UGACUGUUCAGUUCAAUAGUUCGCUUCAA
rnacentral:sRNA from 1 species